rnacentral:rRNA from 1 species
GAUGAACGCUGGCGGCGUGCCUAAUACAUGCAAGUCGAGCGAAUGGAUUAAGAGCUUGCUCUUAUGAAGUUAGCGGCGGACGGGUGAGUAACACGUGGGUAACCUGCCCAUAAGACUGGGAUAACUCCGGGAAACCGGGGCUAAUACCGGAUAACAUUUUGAACCGCAUGGUUCGAAAUUGAAAGGCGGCUUCGGCUGUCACUUAUGGAUGGACCCGCGUCGCAUUAGCUAGUUGGUGAGGUAACGGCUCACCAAGGCAACGAUGCGUAGCCGACCUGGGAGGGUGAUGGGCCACACUGGGACUGAGAAACGGCCCAGACUCCUACGGGAGGUAGCAGUAGGGAAUCUUCCGCAAUGGACGAAAGUCUGACGGAGCAACGCCGCGUGAGUGAUGAAGGCUUUCGGGUCGUAAAACUCUGUUGUUAGGGAAGAACAAGUGCUAGUUGAAUAAGCUGGCACCUUGACGGUACCUAACCAGAAAGCCACGGCUAACUACGUGCCAGCAGCCGCCGUAA